rnacentral:rRNA from 1 species
GUCUACGGCCAUGCCACCCUGAACGUGCCCAGUCUCGUCUGAUCUCGGAAGCUAAGCAGGGUAGGGCCUGGUUAGUACUUGGAUGGGAGACCACCUAGGAAGACCAGGUGCUGUAGGCA